CCUACACCACCCGAUGUCACAGGAAGGCCAAAAAGAUCAUCAAGGACAACAACCACCCGAGCCACUGCCUGUUCAUCCAGAAGUCGAGGCUCGGGAGAGAGGAAGGUCAAGAGCCAUGCGUCCUCCGAAACACAACCCAACCAAGCCGCACUGCUUCUUAACACAGCGCGCAUCCAACCCGGAAGCCAGCCGCACCAAUGUGUCAGAGGGAACACCGUACACCUAGCGACCUUGUCAGCGUACACUGCGCCCGGCCCGCCACAGGAGUCGCUAGUGUGCGAUGAGACAAGAAUAUCCCUACCGGCCAAACCCUCCCUAACUCGGACGACGCUAGGCCAAUUGUGUGUCGCCCCAUGGACCUCCCGGUCGUGGCCGGCUGCGACAGAUCCUGGGCUUGAACCCAGAGUCUCUGGUGGCACAGCUUCCUUAAGCCAUUUUGCCACAACUUUGGAAGUAUGCUUGGGGUCAAUGUCCAUUUGGAAGACCCAUUUGCGACCAAGCUUUAACUUCCUGACUGAUGUCUUGAGAUGUUGCUUCAAUAUAUCCACAUAAUUUUACUUCCUCAUGAUGCCACCUAUUUUUAUGAUGUGCACCAGUCCCUCCUGCAGCAAAGUACCCCCACAACAUGAUGCUGCCACCCCCAUGCUUCACGGUUUGGAUGGUGUUCUUCGGCUUGCAAGCCUCCCCCUUUUUCCUCCAAACAUAACGAUGGUCAUUAUGACCAAAAAGUUAUAUUUGUUUCAUCAGACCAGAGGACAUUUCUCAAAGUACGAUCUUUGUCCCCAUGUGCAGUUGCAAACCGUAGUCUGGCUUUUUUUAUGGCAGUUAUGGAGCAGUGGCUUCUUCCUUGCUGAGCGGCCUUUCGGGUUAUGUCGAUAUAGGACUCGUUUUACUGUGGACAUAGAUACUUUUGUACCUGUUUCCUCUAGCAUCUUCACAAGGUCCUUUGCUGUUGUUCUGGGAUUGAUUUGCACUUUUCGCACCAAAGAACGUUCAUCUCUAGGAGACAGAACGCGUCUCCUUCCUGAGCAGAAUGACGGCUGCGUGAUCCCAUGGUGUUUAUACUUGCAUACUAUUGUUUGUACAGAGGAACGUGGUACCCUUUAGGCGUUUGGAAAUUGCUCCCAUCCCAAGGAUGAACCAGACUUGUGGAGGUCUACAAUUGUUUUUCUGUGGUUUUGGCUGAUUUCUUUUGAUUUUCCCAUGAUGUCAAGCAAAGAGACACUGAGUUUGAAGGUAGGCCUUGAAAUGCAUCCGCAGGUACACCUCCAAUUGACUAAAAUUAUGUAAAUUAGCCUAUCAGAAGCUUCUAAAGCCAUGACAUCAUUUACUGGAAUUUUCCAAGCUGUUUAAAGGCACAGUCAAUUUAGUGGAUGUAAACUUCUGACCCACUGGAAUUGUGAUACAGUGAAAUAAUCUAUCUGGAAACAAUUGUUGGAAAAAUGACUUGUCAUGCACAAAGUAGAUGUCCUAACCGACUUGCCAAAACUAUAGUUUGUUAACAAGCAAUUUGUGGAGUGGUUGAAACACUUAGAUUGGAGUCAUUAACUAGUUUAUGUAAACUUCCGACUUCAACUGUAUAUAAAGCACAGGAAAUCAUGUUUUUACUGCAUUGGACCUUUAAUAAUCUUUGUGUCAUCAUAAUGAUAUUGGUGAUAAUGUACUGUUAUGAUCCUAUAGAAAUGUUAUAUGAAAUUAAUUUGACCAUCAUUAGUUAUUACCCUUACAAUACUGGUUUUUGAGAUUGUGUUCAUAAUCAAAAAUAAAUAAAUAAUAUUGUUGUCAGUGCA